rnacentral:lncRNA from 1 species
UGGAGAGUUUACCAUCCCAACAAGCUCAUGGAGUUUGGGGUGCACUGUUAAAUGCUUGCAGUAGCAAGAGUGAACUCAAGAGGGGUGAAUCCGUUGCCAAGCAUUUGCUCCAUCUGGAACCUGAAAAUAGUGGCUAUUAUGUAACUAUUUCAAACCUUUAUGCACAUAGAGACAUGUGGAAUGGCGCAAUCCAAGUUAGGAGCAUUUUGCAAGAUAAAGGAUUGGUGAAGCCCCAUGGUCAUAGCAUUGUUGGUUAAGCUGCAGAUCAAAAGCUGCAGAAGCCAUACAAUGUCAAGAAUCGCAAAAAAAAUGUUUGUUCACUUCACCAAGUUCUUCCUGCAAGAUCUCUCAAGAAAGACAGUGGUAUAGUGGUAUCUUAUUCGAAAGCUCUGCUGCCUACUCCUUGUACUAUAUGUUUAUGAGGUUUAACUAGAACAUGAUCGAAAUUAUACAUGAUAUUAAUUCUCCAAUUCUGCUCUUGUUCAAAUGCAAUAGUACCUGAACUCCACUGCUGUUUUUAUUGACCAUUUCUUUUAACUAACUAUGAAAAUAUAUAACUGCAAAUGAACCAAAAUUUGAGCACUCUCUAGUCCACUGGAACUUCCAGGUUUUGUUACACUUGAAUACUUGACUAGUUCAAAUACCGGUUGAACAUAAUUUGAUAGAGUGCCUUUCUCCAACGUAGUGCCCUCCCCCAGCACAAGCUUCCUGAGUCCUGACAACUGUGUUUACCCAUGCCCUCCUUGAAUGGUGAUGCUGGCCGGUGUUUGGUCGAAGAGAAGUGGAGAGAAGAAUGGAGAUGGGCGUCGUCGGUGAGGACAGGCUAGAGGAAGGCAGGGAGCAGAAUAAGACAUGUCACUCACUGACUGCCGACUCUGCUUGCUCCCCUGACUCAGCCGUAGGCUCGGCCGCGCACCUCAGAGCCUGCUCAGUGCUCACACUGCCUGGCUAAGAGCCCGCCGCACGACUGCAUGCUCGAAGGAAGACAGGCUGAGAGCAGCGAGAGGAAAGGAAGGAUGGGGUGGAUAUGGGUAGGGGUUUUUUU